ACGCUCGACACCUACUGGAGGCAGCAGUGGGGAAUAUUGCACAAUGGGGGAAACCCUGAUGCAGCGACGCCGCGUGAGCGAAGAAGUAUUUCGGUAUGUAAAGCUCUAUCAGCAGGGAAGAAACUGACGGUACCUGACUAAGAAGCACCGGCUAAAUACGUGCCAGCAGCCGUAGGUAAUCUGAGGCGGGCGUGGACGAAGGC
rnacentral:rRNA from 1 species